rnacentral:rRNA from 1 species
AAAAUUUGAGAGUUUGAUCCUGGCUCAGGAUGAACGCUGAA